rnacentral:sRNA from 1 species
GCACAGUUAACAGACGGGCGCUCAGGGAGCUGUCUGUGAAGCUGCUGGUGGAGUUGGCGUCCGGGGAGCAAGGGCCAUGGCCACCGUGCAGGAGAAGGCUGCUGCGCUGAACCUCUCGGCUCUCCACAGCCCCGCGCACAGGCCUCCUGGUUUCAGUGUAGCUCAGAAGCCAUUUGGAGCCACGUAUGUAUGGAGCAGCAUCAUAAACACUCUUCAAACACAAGUGGAAGUGAAAAAACGAAGGCACCGUUUAAAACGACAUAAUGACUGCUUUGUUGGUUCAGAAGCUGUGGAUGUCAUUUUUUCUCACCUAAUUCAGAAUAAGUAUUUUGGUGAUGUAGAUAUUCCUCGAGCCAAAGUGGUGAGAGUGUGUCAAGCACUUAUGGACUACAAAGUAUUUGAAGCAGUUCCAACCAAAGUCUUUGGAAAAGACAAAAAACCUACAUUUGAAGAUAGUAGUUGCAGCCUUUAUAGAUUCACCACAAUACCUAACCAAGACAGUCAGUCAGGCAAAGUGAACAAACUAUAUUCACCUGCCAGGUUGGUAUAUAAUGUUAGAUUAUCACGGGAAUAUUGGCAGGAUUUUGUCUACCUUUUUAUGAGAUGCCUACUGGCUUUAUAUUACAUUUUUAGCAGUAAAUGUGGCUAAAAUAUGGGUCUGUGGGUAAAUCUGAUAAAGUACGAUGAAAUUUUGUUAACUUUAUUGGGUGUCUCCUAGUCAUAUUUUAUAUUUAGCAGAAGCAGUCAACAUACUUUGAUUUUCCCACUUCAGGUUAUAGUUACAGUAUAAAAAGUGUUCCCAUACCACUUGGUAUGAGAAGAUAGCGAAGGCAGGCAGAGAAAAACCCAGAUUGUGGUGGGAGAGAAGGAAGAAUUAUUUAAAGGGAAACUGGGGAGACAGAAUUGUGGAAUCCAGUGAUUGAAAUGGAUGUGGGUGAUAAUGCAUAAUGAACUUACAGCUAUUUGUCAUGAAGUAAACCAACUUUACCUUUUCCCCUUUGUUACCCUCAGCUAAACCGUGCAGUGGUGACACAGAGGUAUAAUUGAAGCUCUUAUAAUUCAGAUCUGACCUAAAGUCAGAGUUUUAGUGUAUUCAUUUUCGUGUGUGUGUAUUUUUUUGAGGCAGGGUCUUACUCUCUCACCAGACUGGAGUGCAGUGGUGUGAUCUCAGCUCACUGCAUUGUCUGCCUGUUGGGCUCAAGUGAUCCUCCCAU